GUUAGUAUCAACGGUGGACCUGGAUCUGUUCUAGCCACACCAGAGUACUCCCUCCCAUCCUCAAAAAGGCAGCAGCAGUGCCUGAAGUAUCGGAGCAGGAACAGUAGAGCAAUGGUAGAGCAGCACCCACCCUGGAGAGGCGUGGAGGAUAGUGGUUGCCAGAAAACCAUCAAGGACACUGACAAAUAUGAUUUCACAUACCAAAUGCAAAAAUCAUAACUACCUGAUAUAAAUUAACAGCGCAUCUGAAAAGAUCAAGUAAGCUCAAUUAAUCCUUUCUUCUCUUUCAGUGAAG
rnacentral:lncRNA from 1 species